UUAGAUACCCUGGUAGUCCGCGCCCUAAACGAUGAAUGCUAGUCGUCGGGGAGCUUGUCUCUUCGGUGAUGCACUUAAACAGAUUAAGCAUUCCGCCUGGGGAGUACGGUCGCAAGAUUAAAAACUCAAAAGGAAUAGACGGGGGACCCGCACAAGUGGUGGAGCAUGUGGUUUAAUUCGAAGAUACGCGAAGAGCCUUACCUGGCCUUGACAUCCCAAAAACUUUCCAGAGAUGGAUUGGUGCUAGCUUGCUAGAAUUUGGUGACAGGUGCUGCACGGCUGUCGUCAGCUCGUGUCGUGAGAUGUUGGGUUAAGUCCCGCAACGAGCGCAACCCUCGUCCUUAGUUGCUAACAGUUCGGCUGAGCACUCUAAGGAGACUGCCUUCGCAAGGAGGAGGAAGGUGAGGACGACGUCAAGUCAUCAUGGCCCUUACGGCCAGGGCUACACACGUGCUACAAUGGGGCGUACAGAGAGUUGCGAUACCGCGAGGUGGAGCUAAUCUCAUAAAGCGUCUCUCAGUUCGGAUUGUUCUCUGCAACUCGAGAACAUGAAGCUGGAAUCACUAGUAAUCGUAGAUCAGCAAUGCUACGGUGAAUACGUUCCCGGGUCUUGUACUCACCGCCCGUCACACCAUGGGAGUUGAUUUCACCCGAAAUCGGGAUGCCAAACUGGCUACCGCUUACGGUGGAAUUAGCGACUGGGGUGAAGUCGUAACAAGGUAACCGU
rnacentral:rRNA from 1 species